CAAUAGCGUAUAUUAAAGUUGUUGCAGUUAAAAAGCUCGUAGUUGGAUUUCUGGUGGGAGCGAUCGGUCUGGCGCUUAGCGCGAGUACUUGCAUCGUCUCCGGCCAUCCUUGGGGAGAGUCUGUCUGGCAUUAAGUUGUCGGGCAGAGGAUCCUCAUCGUUUACUGUGAAAAAAUUAGAGUGUUCAAAGCAGGCUUAUGCCGUUGAAUAUAUUAGCAUGGAAUAAUAAGAUAGGACUUUGGUACUAUUUUGCUGGUUUGCGCACCAAAGUAAUGAUUAAUAGGGACAGUUGGGGGUAUUCGUAUUCCGUUGUCAGAGGUGAAAUUCUUGGAUUUACGGAAGACGAACUACUGCGAAAGCAUUUACCAAGGAUGUUUUCAUUAA
rnacentral:rRNA from 1 species